rnacentral:rRNA from 1 species
GAGCAAUACCGCGUGAGGGAGGAAGGCUCUUGGGUUGUAAACCUCAAAACUUAGGGAAGAAGAAAGUGACGGUACCUAAUGUAAGCAUCGGCUAACUCCGUGCCAGCAGCCGCGGUAAUACGGAGGAUGCAAGCGUUAUCCGGAAUCACUGGGCGUAAAGAGUCCGUAGGUGGCAAUUCAAGUCUGCUGUCAAAGACCGAAGCUCAACUUCGGGCCGGCGGUGGAAACUGAAAAGCUAGAGUAUAGUAGGGGUAGAGGGAAUUCCUAGUGUAGCGGUGAAAUGCGUAGAGAUUAGGAAGAACACCAGUGGCGAAGGCGCUCUACUGGGCAUAUACUGACACUGAGGGACGAAAGCUAGGGUAGCGAAAGGGAUUAGAUACCCCUGUAGUCCUAGCGGUAAACGAUGGAUACUAGGUGUUGUCUGUAUCGACCCAGACAGUGCCGAAGCAAACGCGUUAAGUAUCCCGCCUGGGAGUACGCACGCAAGUGUGAAACUCAAAGGAAUUGACGGGGACCCGCACAAGCGGUGGAGUAUGUGGUUUAAUUCGAUGCAACGCGAAGAACCUUACCAAGGCUUGACAUCCUGCGAAUGGAGAGGAAACUCACCAGUGCCUUCGGGAACGCAGAGACAGGUGGUGCAUGGCUGUCGUCAGCUCGUGUCGUGAGAUGUUGGGUUAAGUCCCGCAACGAGCGCAACCCUCGUCCUUAGUUGCCAGCAUUGAGUUGGGGACUCUAGGGAGACCGCCGGGGAGAACUCGGAGGAAGGUGGGGAUGACGUCAAGUCAGCAUGCCCCUUACGUCUUGGGCUACACACGUACUACAAUGGUGGAGACAAAGGGAAGCGAAGCCGCGAGGUGAAGCGAAUCCCAGCAAACUCUGCCCCAGUUCAGAUUGCAGGCUGAAACUCGCCUGCAUGAAGGAGGAAUCGCUAGUAAUCGCAGGUCAGCAUACUGCGGUGAAUCCGUUCCCGGGUCUUGUACACACCGCCCGUCACGCCAUGGAAGUUGGUCACGCCCGAAGUCGUUACUCCAACCCUUCAUGGGAGGAGGAUGCCGAAGGUGGGACUAGUGACUGGGGUGAAGUCGUAACAAGGUAGCCGUACCGGAAGGUG